CAGUAGUAACUCAUUGCUAGUAGCGGAGCGGAGGAGGGGGACAGAGACAGUGGCCGCAGAAAGAAGAAACUGAGCUCUGUGUUUAUCAAAGUGGACUUCUUCCCUCUCAGCGCCAUGACUUCCCGCACUUUGGCACUCAUUGACUGUCGGAGGGCGCCGUUAUGAAUAUUCCUCCUCUGUGGUAUCUAAUGUGAAAACGGGAUAGUCGCCGCGCGCUGCCUGCCACUCACAGCCGCCUCUCCUCUCAUCACCUGCGGCUUGCCUCUCACGGACUGUCCGCGGGGAUUGGACGCAGACUUUCGGAGCGGGAGUAAAAAGUUAACUGUGUGGGAUGUUCGAACUUGUGACCUCAUUCUCCAGCGGCUGACAUGCUGCCGGUGGAGUUUGAUGCUGUUUGCGGAGAUUUCAUCCCAUAGACUGGAAGUGUUUGGAUAUACUGUGACUGCUGCUGGACAGCCUGCCUCACUGACUGUGACCAACCCUGUCCACCUAUGAAAGAUCAGAGUGUAUAAUGGAGUACCGCCAGACUUUGGUUCCCCUACUGCUCUUAUUUGCACUCAGAACUUUGGCAUAUGGAUCCCGGCCCAGGUUGGAGGAUGCGGCUCCCCGCGUCAUAGAACACCCGUCUGAUCUGAUCGUGUCCAAGGGUGAGCCGGCCACCCUCAACUGUAAGGCGGAGGGACGGCCGACUCCGAUGGUGGAAUGGUACAAAGACGGUGAGCGCGUUGAGACGGACCGAGAGGACCCCCGGUCGCACCGGAUGCUCUUACCCAGCGGCUCCCUCUUCUUCCUGCGAAUUGUUCACGGAAGGCGAAGCAAACCUGAUGAAGGCGUCUAUGUGUGCGUGGCGCGCAACUACCUGGGCGAGGCAGUCAGUCGCAAUGCAUCGCUGGAGGUGGCAAUUCUGAGAGACGACUUCCGUCAAACACCCAGCGAUGUGGUGGUAGCGGCAGGUGAACCGGCUGUUAUGGAGUGUAUCCCCCCAAGAGGCCAUCCUGAGCCCACAAUCUCAUGGAAGAGAAACAACAUCCGGGUCAAUGACCGAGACGAGAGGAUCACUAUGCGAGGAGGAAAGUUGAUGAUUUCCAACACCAGGAAAAGUGAUGCUGGCAUGUAUGUGUGCGUUGGAACCAACAUGGUUGGAGAGAAAGACAGUGAUCCUGCUGAACUGGUGGUGUUUGAGAGGCCAGUGUUCACCAAACAGCCGGUGAACCAGGUGGUGUUGGCAGACGAUACGGUGGACUUCUUCUGCGAAGUGCAUGGAGACCCGACUCCGACUGUCCGCUGGCGGAGAGAAGAGGGAGAGUUGCCCCGGGGCAGAUUUGAGAUCCGCAGCGACAACAGCCUUCGUCUGACCCAGGUGCGAGGCGAGGACGAGGGCACUUACACCUGCGUGUCUGAGAACAGCGUGGGCAAAGCCGAAGCCUCGGGUACCCUGCAAGUGCACGUCGGCUCGUCUUUGCCCCCUCAGAUUGUGGUUCGGCCACGGGACCAGAUCACAGCUCCAGGUCGCACCGUGACCUUCCUCUGCGGCACCAAAGGGAACCCUCCACCAGCCGUGUUUUGGCAAAAAGAAGGCAGCCAGAUCUUGCUGUUCCCCAUCCAGGAGCCUACACAGUCAGGUCGUUUCUCUGUGUCGCUGAGCGGUGAGCUGACCAUUGCCGACGUCCAAGUCGAAGACUCCGGCUAUUAUAUAUGCCAGGCCAUUAGUGUGGCCGGCAGCAUCCUGACUAAAGCCCUGCUAGAGGUGGAAAGUGCUCCUUCGGACCGCGUCCCACCCAUCAUCCGCCAGGGGCCAGCCAAUCACACCUUAGCUCCUGGUUCCACCACCCAGUUGCACUGCCAUAUCAUGGGCAACCCCAUCCCCAGCAUCCAAUGGGAAAAAGACGGGCAGAGGAUCCUGGGAAAUGACGGUCGAAUCAGCUUGAUGGAAAACGGCACCUUCCAAAUUACCAACCUCCAGGAAACGGACUCUGGGGUUUACACCUGCCUGGCUUCCAGCUCCAGUGGAGAGACGAGCUGGAGUGGAGUGCUCACAGUCAAAGAGAGCGCAGACUCGUCAGUCGCUCAGGCCACAGAGCCCUUCCAGUUGCCGGGACCUCCGCACAAACCCAUCGUCACGGACGUGUCCAAGAACAGUGUCUCUCUGACGUGGCAGCCCAACGCGCACGAGGGAGGAGCCGCCGUCACCUCCUACAUCAUCGAGGCCUUCAGCCAAUCAGCAGGCAGCACAUGGCAGACUGUAGCAGACAUGGUCAAGAUAGAAACGCACACAAUCACCGGCCUCCUCCCUAACACCAUCUACCUAUUCAUCGUCCGAGCAGUCAACGCCUAUGGCCUGAGUGACCCGAGCCCCAUCUCUGAGCCUGUCAGAACUCAAGAUGUGAGUCCCACGGGUCAGGGAGUGGACCACAGGCAGGUGCAGAGGGAGCUGGGUGAGGUGGCUGUCCAGCUGCAAGAUCCCAUCACGCCGACAACAGCUUCUAUCCGAGUAUCCUGGACGGUUGACCGCCAGUCUCAGUACGUCCAGGGCUAUCGUCUCUUCUACCGACCCAGUGGGGGAAUUUGGCUCCUCCAGGACAUCAAUGCCCCCUCCGAGCGCAGCACCGUCCUCACCAACCUGCUCAAAGGGACCGAGUACGAGAUAAAGAUCCGUCCCUAUUUUGAUGAAUUCCAGGGCAAGGACAGCCGAACGUUACUGGUUCGAACCGCAGAAGAAGUCCCCAGUGCCCCACCCAGAGCUGUUACAGUGGCAACAGUGAAGCUAAGCAACAGCUCCAGCAUCAGCGUCUCCUGGGAGCCUCCACCCAGCGAGAUGCAGAACGGCAUCAUCCAGGAGUACAGGGUGUGGUGUGUGGGCAGUGGCGGUGGCGAUAAUCAGACGCCCUACUACAUCAACAAGACGGUGGACGGGAACACGUUGUCCACGGUGCUGAAAGGCCUGAUGCCCGGCGUGCUCUACCAGGUGGAGGUGGCGGCAGUGACCAGCGCCGGCAUCGGCACCCGCAGUCAGCCAGUGUCCGUCCUCAUCAAGCUGCCAGCUGAACAGCCCUCGGUGCCAGGCGGCGGCGGCGGCACCAGCGACAGCGGAGAGGAGAGCAGCGUGAGUCUGGCCGAGCAGAUCACCGACGUGGUCAAGCAGCCUGCGUUCAUCGCUGGCAUCGGCGGGGCCUGCUGGGUCAUCCUCAUGGGCUUCAGCGUCUGGAUCUACUGCCGGCGCAAGAAGAGGAAGGAGCUGAGCCACUACACUGCCUCCUUUGCAUACACGCCAGCAGUUGGCUUCCCUCAUGGAGAGGGAUCAGGACUCAAUGGAAGGCCCGGCGUGCUGGGAGGCAACAUGGGCAACUACCCGUGGCUGGCAGACUCUUGGCCAACCACCAACCUUGUCCACAGCGGUAAAGAGGCGGUCAACUGCUGCACCACCAAUCACGACACGGCUGAGAGAUACUACAAUGAAGCCGGUAUCUCCAACUACCUAAACCAGACGGAGAAGUAUAGCAUGGGAGGCUCCACCGAAGGUCCCAUCUACAGCACCAUCGACGCCACCAGUGAGGACCUGCACAGCUUCCCAUACGCCCAGCACACCUCCACUACCCCCUACGCCUCCACCUCCAUCAUGCCUUUCGCCAACCCGACGCAGGCCCAAAGUGGCGAGCAGCAAGAUGACGGACACUGGAUCACCCAGCCGGGUCCCUCCGGAGCUCAGUACGCCCAGCCGGACCGCUGCAAUGGUAAGCCCAAGCAGAAGCCGAUGGGUAAGGCUGUCAAGACCCCAUCUCUGACCUGGAUGGAGGCGUUGCCCCCGCCGCCCCCCAUCGGAGAGCUGGAACAGUGUGAGCAGGACGACCAGCCCCCAGAGCACGAGGACAUGGAUCUAGGCUCGGAUGAGGAGUGGUGCCCCCCCCUCCCGGAGAGGACCUAUCUGAUGGAAGGCUGUGAGGACGGACCCUCUCCCCUGCAGAGGAACAACGCCUCCUCCCCAGCCACCUCCUACAGUCACCAGUCAACUGCCACACUCACCCCAUCGCCUCACGAGGAGAGCCGAGCCCCCCACGACCUCCCCCGCCUCAACCAGCUAGACAGCCAGCAGCUGUCACGCAGAAGGUUACCCUGUGGUCCAGUGCCAGUUCCCCAGGCGCCGAGCCCGCCGCUCACCCAGUCCAACCCCAACCUCUCCGGCCAACAGCAUCACAGCUCAUCAGAGGUUGGCACGCUGCAGUGCCAAAGUCCUGCCCAUCGCUGCCUCCACAGCCAGGGGCCAGCUCUGAAUGAAGACAAUGUCAGCGUCACUACACCGGUGCACAGUCGCUCAUCCCCAGCAGACACAUGCACUCCUCCCAACCAAAAAUCGCGAGUGAAAAAAAAGGUGUCUAAGAGUUCAGCAUACAGAAGAGAUAUACAAGGAGACCUGCCCCCGCCCCGGAGCCUCCCCCAGCGGAGAACAGGUUGCAGGCCCCCCAGGGGUGCAUGGAGGCCAGCAACGUGGCCAAUGGUGCUCUGUCGUCCCUGGAGAGGAGCGAGUACAGCAGCAGCAGUCACCAACGGAAGGGCUCGGGACAAAGGCACACCGACAAUGAGGAGUUGAUGGCAUACAGCAGUAAGGCCGGUUACCUCUCCAGGAGUCAGAUGUCCAGUAACUGCUCGACCACAGGAAGCUCCUCGUCCAGAGGCUCCACGGGCUCCCGAGGGCUCAACUCGGCCAGAAAACACAACGAGGAAAUGAGAUAAGGACUGCAGUGACUCAGUCGGCAUACCUUCGAUGCCUCCAUCAUCCAUCAUCUUUCCACCGUGGACACAACGAGCUGGACAAGAGGACAAGUUUUGGGUUUCAAGAUACCGGACUCUGUGUCAUUGCUGUGAAAGAAAGAACGGACUUGACAUCAUGUUUUGGUAUUACCAUGAUUAUUUAUGAGCUAUCAAGUUCACUCCUCUCCCUUGAGUUGUAAAUACCUGUGUCUGUACUGUUCUUUUGUGGGCUCUGGAUACAGGGAAAGAGACGUAUAUUGUAUUUAUGAGGAUAAAAAAAAAAAAAACAAUGUUAAAAAAAAGUCUGUUAUUAUAAAAAAAAAGCUCAUGUCUUCUUGAAUGUGCCAACCUUUUUGUCAAAAUGUAUACUUUUUGGAAAAGCAUUAACUACUGUUGCACUCUCUUGUUGUGAUGGCAAAACAACAGAAAAUAUGAAGCACAAAGUGUGUUUGCUGGUUGAGAGGGGGGCAGUCAGAAAAAGCCAAAACGAGCGGGUUCUCGCUCCCGGACGGACGCUGCCCCACCCGGGAUCCCCUGCACCCAUGUAGUCCACUACGAAUGUCCUACUUUUCUAUGUUUCCUUUGGUUUCUCUGCAGCAGAAAUGUUCCAGUGUGCCAGCAGACAGACAGGCUUUAUAAAAGUUUGAUUGUAACCUCCCUCCCCUCUGGCUCCGUUCUCGUCCCCUCUCCUUGUUCGUCUGAGGGACUGUUUGCUGCAGUUGUGAGAUAAAAAUUUGCAUAUACUCCUUCCAAAACAAACAAAAAAAUGUCUGUGGACUGACUUUUUUGUACUCUUGUCGUUUUGUAAAUGUACAAUAAAAUACAUUUGCUGAUCCAA